UCAAGCGCGCGGUUCAUGUGGUCGAAUCCGAAUUAGAGCUUGAGCAUUUGGGGUCCGGUUCGACCUUGCAGGCGAUCCCUGCGGAAGGCGACGUGCAGCAAGGUAAGACGCCUUACUUUGUCUUGAUCGACGAAUUGCACGUUUGGAAAAACCGCCGCCUUUGGCGCGCGUUGAAAACCGGGUUGCUCAAGACGCCAAACACGCUGCUUGUGAUCAUCACCACGGCGGGACGGGGGCAGGACAACCUUGGGU
rnacentral:misc_RNA from 1 species